CCUACGGGAGGCAGCAGUCGAGAAUCAUUCACAAUGGGGGAAACCCUGAUGCUGCGACGCCGCGUGGGGGAAUGAAGGUCUUCGGAUUGUAAACCCCUGUCAUGUGGGAGCAAAUUAAAAAGAUAGUACCAUAAGAGGAAGCGACGGCUAACUCUGUGCCAGCAGCCGCGGGAAUACAGAGGUGUCAAGCGUUGUUCGGAUUCACUGGGCGUAAAGCGUGCGUAGGCUGUUUUGUAAGUCGGGUGUGAAAGGUGGGGGCUCAACCCGCGGACUGCACAUGAUACUGCGAGACUAGAGUAAAGGAGAGGGAAGCGGAAUUCUCGGUGUAGCAGUGAAAUGCGUAGAUAUCGGGAGGAACACUCGUGGCGAAGGCGGGUUCCUGGACAGUAACUGACGCUGAGGCACGAAAGCCAGGGGAGCAAAAGGGAUUAGAUACCCUAGUAGUC
rnacentral:rRNA from 1 species